GACGAACGCUGGCGGCGUGCUUAACACAUGCAAGUCGAGCGGUAAGGCCCCUUCGGGGGUACACGAGCGGCGAACGGGUGAGUAACACGUGAGCAAUCUGCCCUUCACUUUGGGAUAACUCUGGGAAACGAGAGCUAAUACCGAAUACGACCACUUCAGGCAUCUGAUGGUGGUGGAAAGUUCCGGCGGUGAAGGAUGAGCUCGCGGCCUAUCAGCUAGUUGGUGGAGUAACGGCCCACCAAGGCUUCGACGGGUAGCCGGCCUGAGAGGGUGACCGGCCACACUGGGACUGAGACACGGCCCAGACUCCUACGGGAGGCAGCAGUGGGGAAUAUUGGACAAUGGGCGAAAGCCUGAUCCAGCAACGCCGCGUGAGGGAUGACGGCCUCGGGUUGUAAACCUCUUUCAGUAGGACGGAAGCGCAACGUGACGGUACCUACACGAAGAAGCACCGGCCAACUACGUAG
rnacentral:rRNA from 1 species